rnacentral:tRNA from 1 species
GGGGUUGUGGCUCAGUGAUAGAGCAUUUGCCUUGAAUGUAUGAGGCACUGGGUUCAAUUCUCAGCACCACA